UCAUAAAUGAACAUUGAUUUACAAAAGGAAAUAAACAGAGGAAGAAAGUAGAGAGCCUGAUAUUAGAAACAGCUUUGGCAGUGGGAGCAACAGCUGCAGUGAGGAUUAUUGAACCUGAGGUCAGAAGCAGUCUAUAGCUUGGCAGAGGAUGUUUUGGUCAGAAGCAGGCUCCAGUGUGACAGUGGGUGUCUCUGGUAGCUGAAAGACAAGAUAUUAAUUAAUAGCUGACAAGGUUUGCAGGCAGUUGGGAAACCCUCCUGAUGAAGGGCUUCUUGUUCUGCUUCAAGCAGCCACCAUGUACAUGGCCAAUCUUGUGUGUGGAAAAGGCUCUCAAGACUGUUAGUCACCAUGUGCCCACUACAUAACAGGAAGAGAGAGCUUGAUUGUAAGCAGCGUUAGGAUGCUAGACUAAAAGCCAGUCUGCUAGAUUUCCA
rnacentral:lncRNA from 1 species